GAUGAACGCUGGCGGCGUGCCUAAUACAUGCCAGUCGAGCGAACGGACGAGAAGCUUGCUUCUCUGAUGUUAGCGGCGGACGGGUGAGUAACACGUGGAUAACCUACCUAUAAGACUGGGAUAACUUCGGGAAACCGGAGCUAAUACCGGAUGAUAUUUUGAACCGCAUGGUUCAAAAGUGAAAGACGGUCUUGCUGUCACUUAUAGAUGGAUCCGCGCUGCAUUAGCUAGUUGGUAAGGUAACGGCUUACCAAGGCAACGAUGCAUAGCCGACCUGAGAGGGUGAUCGGCCACACUGGAACUGAGACACGGUCCAGACUCCUACGGGAGGCAGCAGUAGGGAAUCUUCCGCAAUGGGCGAAAGCCUGACGGAGCAACGCCGCGUGAGUGAUGAAGGUCUUCGGAUCGUAAAACUCCGUUAUUAGGGAAGAACAUAUGUGUAAGUAACUGUGCACAUCUUGACGGUACCUAAUCAGAAAGCCACGGCUAACUACGUG
rnacentral:rRNA from 1 species